rnacentral:rRNA from 1 species
CCUUCUCAAAUACUUGUAUUUGGUUGUGAGUGACACUCAGUCUUGCAUUGAGUUAACUUGAAAUUGUUGGCCGUAGCGGUUGUUGCAGCUUAUAGUUUUUGUGUAAUGGUAUGAUUUCUUUACUAUUAAACAGGAUGCUGAGCAUGUCGUAUUAGGUUUUACCAACUCCGGCAGACUCUGGUAUCUUGGAAGAGCGUACUGGCAUUAGAACAUUGAACUGUCGACUGUGGCAAACAGUACUCUUUAAGU